CUGCCGUGUCCCUGGGCGGGCACGGGGCUCCCUCCGAAAUGGUUAUUUUCAUAUCGGCUUGGGUGGAAACACCAACCCGUGGGCAGGGUGUGCUCUAAGCCGCGGAGUAAACACUGCCCUCGGUCCCCUGUCCCUGCUGCACACCCCGGGUUACCCGCACACAUGCGCAGGAAAACAACUCAGCACGUUCAGAUGCUCUCUGGAAGGGGAAGGCUUUAGUUUCAAAUUAGGAAGCUCUCUGAGAUGAACGAUAAACUCCGCUUUGGUCAGGCUAUGGUGUUCGAUCAUAUCUUUGUGGUUUUGUCCUCACCGAAAAGGGCCCCGGAGGCUCAAUCAAGAAACAGAAUUUCAGAUAGUUUGAUUUGACAUAAGGAAACUUUGCAUUUGUAAUAUUAUAAGACUCUAAAGGGGAAAAAAAAUGAAACCUCUGUAGCUGAGACAAGAAGUGUGCCUAAGUGCCACUACAUUUCAAUCCCCAUUCGGAUAUAAUUUAAGUCUUCUUUGGCUUACAGUAAUAUACUCUCCAACCUUGAGGCUAUCCAAAAGGGGGGAUUUAAUGAGGCUGAGUUUAUACACUUAUAUAAUUUAGGGGUUUCGCUGUAGCUGUAAAAUGACAAUUGCUACAUGUGUAGUGCAAAGGAGCUGAAAUCCCAUCCAGGGACCAAGUUGGUUAUUUCUGAAGGAGCUGUCAUUUCCAGCAGGAGGGCACAAUGAGAAGGCCAGGAGCAAUGGAGCUCUGAUCUCCACCAAGGAGAGAUAACCACCUGAUUAAAAUGGAGCUCUUGUUCCCUCGUUACUCGAUCGUCGUGUGAACUUACCUUAUUUACAAUUAUAGGCAAUGAGUGAGUCGCCCAGAUUGUAAUACACCUAUAGCUUUGGGUUUACUCCUCCCUUUGUUAUCGAGACCAUCUCUCGGACAGAUUUCUGGAGCACUCAUAGCAUGUGAGCACAGAAAGUCUCUCAAGGAGGGAGGGGGUGUGUGCGUUCAGAGCCCGCAGUGCGAGCGCAGCGCGUUCAGCCUCCCACACGCCCCCGCUGGGAAGCGAGCGGGAGGCCGGGCCCAGCAGAACCAGCCUGUCGAAAUCAGGAUGUUUCCAGCACGCAGGCACGUGUGAACACCAGCAGAAAGCACAGGGGCUCGGCAGUGGGUGAAGGACUGUUUCAUACUGCACAUCUGGUAUUCGCUCAUUUUCCAGGUGAAGCCAGGCACGGCGGCUGGGGGAGGACACCCAAUCUCGGGCCACUCUGGAGCCCAGGAUGA
rnacentral:lncRNA from 1 species